AUUAAACUGUAAAGUGUUUGGACACAUUGCCGUUUUAAUGAUGGCGAAUAUGCGCGAAUCUGCGCGAAUAAUACCGCAGUAAUGAUAGUGAUUGUGUAUCUUGCCGUAGGUGACCGUGGGUGACGAGCUCGCGCGCAGAAAUCCGGUCUUUCGCCCAUCUCGCAUUCAUGACCGUUGAAUUUUGAUAAACAAACGAGAAUGGGUGUUGGCCUUAAACCGCUGGAAUUUACGGAUUGUUUAACCGACAGUCCGUACUUCCGCGAGAAUCUCCACUAUCACGAGCGAGAAUUGGAGAAGACCAGUCAGCAGAUUAAACGGCUCGUCAAAGAGGUCAAAGAUUUAUUGCUAGCCGCCAGGAACUUGUCUCGGGCUCAGAGAGCUUUUUCCAAAACAUUGCAAAACUUCAGUUUUGAAUGCAUCGGUGAAAGUCAGACUGAGGAUGAGACUCAUAUAUCUCAGAGCUUGAAAGAAUUUGGUAAACUUAUUGCAUCCAUAGAAGAUGAAAGGGAUCGCAUGUUGGAACGAGCAUUUGACCAGAUAAUAUUACCCUUAGAAAAUUUUAGAAAAGAACAUAUCGGUGGAGUUAAGGACGGUAAAAAGAAGUUCGAGAAGCAGACAAUUAAAUUUUGUCAAAGUCAAGAGCGUUAUUUGAACUUAUCUACGAAAAAACAAGAUAAUGUUUUGCAAGAGGCUGAUGCAACAUUGGAAAUGGCUGAAAGACACUUCUCUCAAGCUAGCUUAGAAUAUGUAUUUUUACUGCAAGAAGUUCAAGAGCGGAAAAAGUUUGAAUUUGUUGAAACGUUAUUGGGGUUUAUGUUCGGAUGGCUAACAUUUUAUCAUCAAGGUCAUGAAGUUGCGAAAGAUUUCAAACCUUAUAUGACAGAGCUGCAGUUGAAGAUUCAGAAGUCUGCUGUAGAAAGUGGUCUCAAUAAAUUGCACUCGCGUGAAGGAUAUCUAUUCUUAAUGGAAAAAAAAGCAUUUGGUACAACAUGGACAAAACAAUAUUGCACAUAUCAAAAAGAUAGGAAGGAAUUUACUAUGAUACCUUACAAUCAACUCACAGGAAAAUUUAGCAGCAAGGAAACCUUUACACUAGCCUCUUGCGUACGACGUACAUCGGACACUAUUGAAAAAAGAUUUUGCUUUGAUAUUACUGCCGUCGAUAGACUUAACGUGGUAUACACAUUCCAAGCACUUUCUGAGGAGGAUAGGAAAUUAUGGAUGGAUGCUAUGGAUGGAAAGGAACCUUCUUAUCCACGAUUAGGUUCUUCCGCGAGACCAGAAGAUAUGACGUUAGCUGAAACCGGUUUUACAUUCGUAUCGAAGUGCAUCGCGGCGCUCGAAGAUAGAGGAUUAGAAGAACAAGGUCUAUAUAGAGUAGUUGGAGUUGCCUCCAAAGUGAACAAACUCUUGACCAUGGGUUUGGAUAAGCGAAAAGCGGACAAGCUCAAUUUAAGCGAUCGUUUCGAGUGGGAGAGUAAAACUAUUACCAGUGCGCUCAAGACUUACCUGAGAACAUUGUCCGAGCCGUUAAUGACCUUCCGAUAUUACAACAGCUUCAUUACAGCUGCGAAACAGGAGAUGAAGGAAACUCGGAUAAAUGAUAUACAUAGCCUCGUUUAUCGAUUGCCCAAAGCCAAUUUCAAUAUGCUGAUCCUUCUUAUUACUCAUCUUUGCACUGUGGCAAAGAAAAGCGAUAAAAACCUGAUGACUGUGGGAAAUCUGGCGGUAUGUUUCGGUCCAACUUUAUUACGACCAGAGGAGGAAACUGUAGCUUCUAUAAUGGACAUUAAAUUUUACAAUAUUGUUGUGGAAAUAUUGAUCGAGAAUUGUGAAAGAAUAGUAGCUGGACCACCCCAAGAUUCUUUGCGCGUAGCGGCAACGCAGCCUGCGUUACAAGCUAUUGCUGUACCAAAUAAAACGCAAUGUGUCAAGGAAGAAGGUCCAACCUCGUCGGGUAAUGGAAUGGCAUUUUUAAGAUAUCCAUUGCACACGGCAGUAACGGUUGCACCCACAUCGUCGCAUACGCACCUCGUUACAAGAUCUUAUUAUGAUGGCCAGCCUUUGACCGUUGUUAACAAGUCGCCCACUGUCGACGAGAGGAACAAUGGGGAUUAUGAAGAUCUCGAUAGUACGACCCAUCGUAUACCAUCGUAUUUGGACAGUCGCGGCGGUAACACCAGCAGCAGUCGCAUGAAAUUGACUAACGCGAACCUUAUGUAUCAUUCAGCUGACUAAAGUUCUAAGUGGUGGCAAUACGAGUAGCUCAAGCGAGUCAAUUGCAUCGGAUCCUCAUUCUUUUACAAGUGAGUUACCAGUGAAGCAUAAACGUGGCACAAUGAUAUCCGUGCACUAUCCUACAGCUUAUCCUCAGCGUAGUAACUCAUCGAUAUGUCCUAUCAACACUUCCCCCAAUAGUGGACGUUCGAGUCCUGGUCAAAUUCCAGGAAUUUGGAGAGUACGAACUUUAUACGCAUGCAUGGCGGAAAAUGAUGGCGAAUUAUCAUUUGAACCAAAUCAAAUUAUCACAAAUGUUAAGGCCUCUUUGGAACCAGGUUGGUUAGAAGGUACAUUAAACGGCAAAACAGGUUUAGUUCCGAAGAAUUAUGUGGAGCAACUGCCCUAAAUACUGCAACAAAAGAAAAAAACCAAAGAGCGUCGAAGAAAAUAUAGGUAAUUUUAUCA
rnacentral:misc_RNA from 1 species